rnacentral:rRNA from 1 species
GACGAACGCUGGCGGCGUGCCUAAUACAUGCAAGUCGAACGCUGAAGGAGGAGCUUGCUUCUCCGGAUGAGUUGCGAACGGGUGAGUAACGCGUAGGUAACCUGCCUGGUAGCGGGGGAUAACUAUUGGAAACGAUAGCUAAUACCGCAUAACAGUAGAUAUCGCAUGAUAUCUGCUUGAAAGGUGCAAUUGCAUCACUACCAGAUGGACCUGCGUUGUAUUAGCUAGUUGGUGAGGUAACGGCUCACCAAGGCGACGAUACAUAGCCGACCUGAGAGGGGGAUCGGCCACACUGGGACUGAGACACGGCCCAGACUCCUACGGGAGGCAGCAGUAGGGAAUCUUCGGCAAUGGACGGAAGUCUGACCGAGCAACGCCGCGGGAGUGAAGAAGGGUUUCGGAUCGUAAAGCUCUGUUGUAAGAGAAGAACGAGUGUGAGAGUGGAAAGUUCACACUGUGACGGUAGCUGACCAGAAAGGGACGGCUAACUACGUG